UUAAAUUGAAGAGUUUGAUCAUGGCUCAGAUUGAACGCUGGCGGCAGGCCUAACACAUGCAAGUCGAACGGUAACAGGAAGCAGCUUGCUGCUUCCUGACGAGUGGCGGACGGGUGAGUAAUGUCUGGGAA
rnacentral:rRNA from 1 species